rnacentral:rRNA from 1 species
UACGUAGGGGGCAAGCGUUAUCCGGAAUUAUUGGGCGUAAAGCGUGCGUAGGUGGAUUGACAAGCCUUGGGUGAAAGGCUACGGCUCAACCGUAGUAAGCCUAAGGAACUGUCAAUCUUGAGUGCAGGAGAGGAAAGCGGAAUUCCUAGUGUAGCGGUGAAAUGCGUAGAUAUUAGGAGGAACACCAGUGGCGAAGGCGGCUUUCUGGACUGUAACUGACACUGAGGCAUGAAAGCGUGGGUAGCAAACAGG